CUUGUCCUGCGCCGCGCGCCCGCGUGCUCUCCGCCCCCGCCGAGGAUGGAGGCUGCCGCAGCCGGAUUCGCAACCGGCGCGCGGGGCGCAGCCGCGGCCCGUACCUUCGGGCUCGACCUCCAGGCGGCGGCCGGAGGCGUGCGACGACCCCGCCGGGCCAUCCCCAUGCCCGCAGCGGGCCCCCGCGGCGGCCACCCCUCCUUCGCCACGGCGCCGUCGACCCUCUACGCGGCGUACGGAGCGGAGCCUCGUCGGCCGCCACGGCUGGAGCUCGGCCGCGUCGUGACAGAGUUUGAUUCGGCUCUGACGAUCGAUUCGCACCUGGUGGCAGUACCCGUGACCCGUCCCUCUCCCAUGGCCCCGGCGAGACCACGCCACGAGCACCUUGGCUGCGGCCGCCCGGUGUCCCUGCUCCCGCUCCGAGGAGCUCGUCGCACUCACUCCUCUCGCCGUUCAGCAGCGGCCGUGGGACUCGGAGGUGAGCCCCGCUGGCAGAUAGCGGCGGCUGCGGUGGGACGACGCGGCCGAUCCGGUGGCUUUGGCAACCCCUAUGCUGGCGUGCCUCCCCAAGGCCGGCGCGUGUAUGCUCAGGGAGUCUGACAGGAAUGGGCACAAGGAACCAAGAACAGUGGAUGAGUUGAUGGAAGCAUACCCACGAUGCACCUCCUUCUUCAAGUUGGUCACCGUAGUGCUGUGUCUCGGGCUGUGCUUCUUGUCCGCAAAGGGUGAUCCAAGGGCAGCCUUGAUGGUCACGACAUCGAAGGAUGCAGCCGAGGUCUACAAGUUCCUUUCUGACGUUCUACUUAUCUUGAAGAAACUGUUCUUUCCAUGAUCUAGAUCGAAGAGGUGAUGGGUUACAUUGUGAUUUCCUUGGAACCUGAAGAAAGGCGCUACAAGGGUCAGAUACAGAUAUCAGAUAGAGCAUCGAAGAUACUGGAGACUUCAACUGUUGUGCCGUACCUAAAGUGGCCGGCCAAAUCCGAUAACAUAGGAACAAUGCCCUAAGUGUUUUGAGCUGUUAUUUUUUCUACUCCGCAUAUAUCCAUCGUCUGCACAAUUUGCACCCCCCAACACACGCACAGAAUUAUUGGGUAUCAGUAUUACCAAAUUGUCACUGUGUUCGCUCAGUUCGGCGACGUGGGGUACCUGCGUAUCCCGGGAGUGGCAGUAUGAACUGCCAGCUGUAAUUUCUGUUUAUAUAAUGGGCGAUUUGUCCGAAC